AUAUAUAUAUAUAUAUAUAUAUAUAUAUAUAUAGUUGAGCUGGAAUACUAUCGAUAGCAAGCAGACUCCGUUGAUAUCCAUUUGUUUUCGAUGAUGGAGGCUCCAAAUUGACGAUCGGCACCGUUGGACAUGAUAUAUACCAUUUAAAGCAUAUAAAAUCAACUUUCAUACUUUUUCGAUAUUGUUCUCUUGUCUAUCAAGUGGAUAUAAAAAUAAACGGUUGAAAAUGAAUCUUCUUCAAAAAGUGAUGAUAGGAGUUUCGUAAUCAAGAUCAAGAGUAAAAAUCUUGUUUUAAAUAAUACAAAAAAUUUUCUAGUAAAAAUUUAAUUAAUUUGAAUAUCUUUAUACUGUUAAACUAGAAAACGUCUCAUAUCGACCAUUAAAAUUACAGAUUUAGAAAUCCUUUGAUCAUUAGACCAAUGAUGUCGAAAAAAAUUUAAAAUUUAAUUUCUACAUACUUCAAGUGAUAUAGAUCAUAUUCAACGAUGCUGAUCGUCGAUUUAGAGACUCCAACGAUCAUCGAAUACAAAUAGGUGGCAACGAAGUCUGUUUGCUAUCAAUAGCAAACAUGCUUAAAAUUAACCCUUUGAUCAUUAGGCCAAUAAUGUCGAAAAAAAUUUGAAAUUUCAUUUCUACAUACUUCAAGUGAUAUAGAUCAUAUUCAACAAUACUGAUCGUCAAUUUGGAGACUCUAUCAUCGAAAAUAAAUAGGUGGCAAUGGAGCCUGUUUGCUGUCAAUAGCAUUUCCGCUCAACUCUCUCUCUCUCUCUCUCUCUCUCUCU
rnacentral:lncRNA from 1 species